rnacentral:pre_miRNA from 1 species
UACAUACUCCCCCCGUCCGGAAAUACUUGUCCUAGAAAUGGAUGUAUCUAGACUUAUUUUAGUUAUAGAUACAACCAUUUUAUCCAUUUUGAGGACAAGUAUUUCCGGACGGAGGGAGUAUAUA